UUGUGCAUUAUCUUUACUUCUUUUUUUUUUUUUGGCGAGCGAUGGUUUGUUUGUAAUAUUCCGGCCGCUAAAGGGCUAAGACUUUAUAUCUAUUGUAGCCUUUAGGUGAAUGUGAAACUGAAUAGAAGUUGGUAGGUUGGGUAUUUCUAAGUUUGGCUGAGGUCGUACUUUGGCAAAGGGGUUGGGUAGUACGUAUUUCACAAACUGGACAAUAUACGUACCUGCGUGUAUGUCUACAUAAGAUCAGUUUAUCUUGGUGAUUUUAAGUUUAAAGAGGUGAUAUGUGCCUAUUAUUAAUAUGUAUAUACGGAUGCGGGCCAAACCAACUCAUCAGAUAGAUAGGUAUUUAAUUACUUACCUACCUAUACGGCAUAUUAUCGAAUUUGAUCAAUUCGUAUCAUUUUCAUUAUUCUAGCAUUAUGAAAUUUACAUUUUCCAAACAGAAAAUUCUUUAUUAACCAAGAAGUGAGUGAUAUGCAACCGUAAAGAUGUAUUUACUAACCAUUGCUGAUGCAUCAAACGAAAUGGGAACGAAGUCGAAUUUGCUCAGAAACAAUAUGCAACAUGAAUGCAGUUUUCCUAUCGAGAUGAUCAAUUGAAAUCAUGACCAAAUGAAUUGGACAGCACAGAGCAUGGAUCGAUGAUACAAAUAUUCAACAGUCCAGAAUAGGAGAAUUCCAAACAUCUCAAUAAUCAGAUCGACUACAGAACGACAGAUUUCCAAUCAUUUUUUCCAAUCCAUACGAGGCGGAGAGGAAGAUUAAAAAAAAAUGACAAAUGGACAGAAAGAAUCGAAGAAAACAUGUGCUUAUUGGGUGAAAUUCAAGGAGUCAGCUUAAGAUUUCAGUUUUUUUGGGAACUUUUCAGCAACUUGCAGCUGAUAGCAAUCGUCUUCAGGAAAUGAACGAACGCAGAAGGGGAUAUUGGAAAGAAAAAAUGUACUUAUUUUGUAAGCAUAUUUUGAUCCUGUUAUGCGAUAAUAAAUUCCUUUGUUUGUUCAA